UUCAGUAUCUUUCUUCAAAUCUUUUAAAUAGUGAUGGAGAUUUAAAAAUAGUUACUAAUAUUGGAACUAAAAUACAUGCAUGCAUCUGGUCAAGGUAUCUCUUCUCUCAACAAUAUUUCUUGUAAUAAUGGAGAAGAGGCAGACGGCCGAAUAAUACUGCAUGUUAUGGACGCAGUUAAGCAUAGAGCUCAGAGUGUCGUAGUUCGUUGUGCAGAUACAGAUGUUGUAGUAAUUUGUGUAUCAUUUUUUCAUAGCCUACAUUCUUUAGGCUUAAGAUAAUUGUGGAUACUUUAUGGCUGUGGAAAACAUAAAAGAUAUAUUGCAGCUUACGAUAUUGCUAUGGUUUUGGGAAAGAAUAAAUCCAAGGCUCUUCGUGGUAUGCAUGCUUUUACUGGAUGUGAUACAGUUUCGUUUUUUAUGUCAAAAGAAAAAUAUACAACACAUCUCUAUGGUAUUCGGGAUCCGGAAUAUCAGCGUGUUAACCCAGCACGCAAACAUCUUUUUGGUACAGAAAAUCGCCCACUACUUUUAAUUCCACUGACAGCCGCUGCUUUGAAACAACACACUCUUAGAGCAGCCUAUCAAGCAGGUCAAAUUUGGGGUAGAGCUGAUGUUUUGGAAAGUCCACCAGAGCCAAGUGAAUGGGGGUGGAAAAUUUGCGAUAAUGGAUGGAAGCCCAUCUGGUCAGAUUUACCAGGAAUUUGGCAAGAAAAAAUGAUCUUCCUUGCACUCUCAACUGUAGCAAAUGUAAAGGAAAAUGUCGGAACAAAAGCAAGCGAUAUGAUGGCAAUAGCGACGAUGAAGAAUCUGAAUAAUUUUGUUUAAGCUGCCUUAUUCUAAAUUAAAUUAAUGCUGUUAAGA